AAAUUGAAGAGUUUGAUCAUGGCUCAGAUUGAACGCUGGCGGCAGGCCUAACACAUGCAAGUCGAGCGGUAGCACAGAGAGCUUGCUCUCGGGUGACGAGCGGCGGACGGGUGAGUAAUGUCUGGGAAACUGCCUGAUGGAGGGGGAUAACUACUGGAAACGGUAGCUAAUACCGCAUAAUGUCGCAAGACCAAAGUGGGGGACCUUCGGGCCUCAUGCCAUCAGAUGUGCCCAGAUGGGAUUAGCUAGUAGGUGGGGUAACGGCUCACCUAGGCGACGAUCCCUAGCUGGUCUGAGAGGAUGACCAGCCACACUGGAACUGAGACACGGUCCAGACUCCUACGGGAGGCAGCAGUGGGGAAUAUUGCACAAUGGGCGCAAGCCUGAUGCAGCCAUGCCGCGUGUGUGAAGAAGGCCUUCGGGUUGUAAAGCACUUUCAGCGGGGAGGAAGGCGAUAAGGUUAAUAACCUUGUCGAUUGACGUUACCCGCAGAAGAAGCACCGGCUAACUCCGUGCCAGCAGCCGCGGUAAUACGGAGGGUGCAAGCGUUAAUCGGAAUUACUGGGCGUAAAGCGCACGCAGGCGGUCUGUCAAGUCGGAUGUGAAAUCCCCGGGCUUAACCUGGGAACUGCAUUCGAAACUGGCAGGCUAGAGUCUUGUAGAGGGGGGUAGAAUUCCAGGUGUAGCGGUGAAAUGCGUAGAGAUCUGGAGGAAUACCGGUGGCGAAGGCGGCCCCCUGGACAAA
rnacentral:rRNA from 1 species